rfam:Caminicella sporogenes DSM 14501 genome assembly, contig: EJ28DRAFT_scaffold00002.2
CGAGUAAGUCAGAUAGCCGCGUCACUUUAUAUAAGUGAUGAGGAAAGUCCGAGCUCCAUAGGGCAGGGUGCUGGGUAAUACCCAGUGGAGGCGACUCCAAGGAUAGUGCAACAGAAAUAUACCGCCAGUUUUUACUGGUAAGGGUGGAAAGGUGAGGUAAGAGCUCACCAGAGGCUAGGCGACUAGUCUGCUAUGUAAACCCCACCUGGAGCAAGACCAAGUAGGGACUAAAAAAGGUGGUUGCCCGCUGCCGUCCCGUUGGUAGGUCGCAUGAGCCUGCUGGCAACAGUAGGCCUAGAUAGAUGGCUAUCUAAUACAGAACUCGGCUUAUAGACUUGCUCGUAUA